rnacentral:rRNA from 1 species
CAGUCGCCACGGUAAUACGGAGGGGGCUAGCGUUGUUCGGAAUUACUGGGCGUAAAGCGCACGUAGGCGGCUUGGUAAGUUAGAGGUGAAAGCCCGGAGCUCAACUCCGGAAUUGCCUUUAAGACUGCCGAGCUAGCAGGUGAGAGAGGUAAGUGGAAUUCCGAGUGUAGAGGUGAAAUUCGUAGAUAUUCGGAAGAACACCAGUGGCGAAGGCGGCUUACUGGCUCAUACUGGACGCUGAGGUGCGAAAGCGUGGGGAGCAAACAGGAUUAGAUACCCGCGUAGUCCCUGUCUCUUAUAC